rnacentral:rRNA from 14 species
CACCAGGUUGAUUCUGCCUGGUGGAUGCUAGUUUCAUAGGUUAAGCCAUGCAUGUGUAAGCGAAGCUUUUAGUGGAGCGGCGCAAGGCUCAGUAACGGGCGUCUGAUUUGAUCUCUCGGAGUGGACAACCUCUGUAACCGGAGGCCAAAACACGGGAGGGGCAUGCAGUGGAGAUGCCCCGAGAACAUUAGUGAGAGAGAGUAAGGAGCCAUCCCAUCAGUUAGUAAGUAGGGUAAGGGCCUACUUAGACGAGGACGGGUACGGGGAAUUAGAGUUUGAUUCCGGAGAGGGAGCCUGAGAGACGGCUACCAGGUCCAAGGACAGCAGCAGGCGCGAAAAUUACCGAAGCCUGCAUUCAGGGCGGUAGUAAGGAAACGCGAAAACGAUGUGCAGGUAAAGAAUGCACUAGUAACAGGAGGUCAAGACUGGUGCCAGCAUCCGCGGUAAUACCAGCUCCUGGAGUGUCUAUGAUGAUUGCUGCAGUUAAAGAGUUCGUAGUCGGACUGCGUGACUGGCGUGAAAGACCCUUUUAUUCGUUCAUUCAAGGGGGGCGCAGCGCCGGAAAAGCAGGGAAUAAGGAGCGGCCGGGGCACAGGUUAUUAAGCGACGAGAGGUGAAAUUUGAUGACUCGCUUAGGAGCAACAGAGGCGAAAGCGCUGUGCAGGGGCGAUUCCGAUGAUAAAGGACGUAGGCUAGAGGAUCGAAGAUGAUUAGAGACCGUUGUAGUUCUAGCAGUAAACGAUGCCGAUGCCGUGGGGCAGUUCUUAGACUGCGCCGCGGAAGAGAAAUUGAGUAGGGCCCUGGGGAGAGUACACGCGCAAGCGAGAAAUUUAAAGGAAUUUGACGGAAGAACACCACAAGGAGUGGAGUGUGCGGCUUAAUUUGACUCAACGCGGGACAGCUUACCAGGCCCGACGACCGCACGAGUGUGGUACACGAUAGGUCGGAGAGUGGUGCAUGGCCGUUAACGACAAGUGGGGUGACCUUUGGGUUAAGUCCGGGAAGUUGUGAGACCCCUGCUGGCGAGCCAGGACAGGUGCUCAAAGCACAGGAAGGAAGGGUCAAGAACAGGUCAGUGAUGCCCUUAGAUGGUCUGGGCUGCACGCGCACUACAGUGGUCACACGAGUUUAUAGAUAGAAGAAAUGGUGAUCGAGAGGAAAUGAGCUUUGCAAGAGGCUCAGGAACGAGGAAUUGCUAGUAAUCGCGGGCUCAUUAAGACGCGAUGAAUACGUCCCUGUUCUUUGUACACACCGCCCGUCGUUAUCGAAGAUGGAGUCAGGCGCGAACAAGCGAGAGCGAGUGAGUGCAGGGUUCUAGAUGUGAUACAAGUCGUAACAAGGUAGCUGUAGGAGAACCAGCAGCAGGAUCAUAA